rnacentral:rRNA from 1 species
AACUCUUAUCGAUAAGCCAUUGGAGGGCAAGUCUGGUGCCAGCAGCCGCGGUAAUUCCAGCUCCAAUAGCGUAUAUUAACGUUGUUGCAGUUAAAAAGCUCGUAGUUGAAGUGAGGGAGUGUGUGUUGUGAUCGAAUCGAUCGAGAGCAGUACAACCUCCCCCUUCCAAUGGGUGUAUUGGGGUAUUCAUUUACUUCAUUACUCCUUUGGUCGUUUACUGUGAGAAAAUUAGAGUGUUCAAAGCGGGCGUUUGUUUGAAUAGAUUAGCAUGGAAUAAUGAUUGAAGGCUUUCGUGUUCGAUUUGAUUGGUUUGUUCAUGGAAGCAAGGUUAAAAGGAACAGUUGGGGGUAUUCAUAUUCACUAGUUAGAGGUGAAAUUCUCGGAUUUAUGGAAGAUGAACAAGGCCGAAAGCAA